rnacentral:rRNA from 1 species
CAGCAGUAGGGAAUCUUCCGCAAUGGACGAAAGUCUGACGGAGCAACGCCGCGUGAGUGAAGAAGGUUUUCGGAUCGUAAAACUCUGUUGUCAGAGAAGAACAAGUUGGAGAGUAACUGCUCCAGCCUUGACGGUAUCUGACCAGAAAGCCACGGCUAACUACGUGCCAGCAGCCGCGGUAAUACGUAGGUGGCAAGCGUUGUCCGGAUUUAUUGGGCGUAAAGCGAGCGCAGGCGGUUCCUUAAGUCUGAUGUGAAAGCCCACGGCUCAACCGUGGAAGGUCAUUGGAAACUGGGGAACUUGAGUGCAGAAGAGGAGAGUGGAAUUCCAUGUGUAGCGGUGAAAUGCGUAGAUAUAUGGAGGAACACCAGUGGCGAAGGCGACUCUCUGGUCUGUAACUGACGCUGAGGCUCGAAAGCGUGGGGAGCAAACAGGAUUAGA